GCCGCUUUAGCUCAAUUGGUAGAGCACCUGAUUUGUAAUCAGGCGGUUGUGGGUUCAAGUCCCAUGAGCGGCUCCA
rnacentral:tRNA from 3 species